GAUGAACGCUGGCGGCGUGCCUAAUACAUGCAAGUCGAGCGAACGGACGAGAAGCUUGCUUCUCUGAUGUUAGCGGCGGACGGGUGAGUAACACGUGGAUAACCUACCUAUAAGACUGGGAUAACUUCGGGAAACCGGAGCUAAUACCGGAUAAUAUUUUGAACCGCAUGGUUCAAAAGUAAAAGACGGUCUUGCUGUCACUUAUAGAUGGAUCCGCGCUGCAUUAGCUAGUUGGUAAGGUAACGGCUUACCAAGGCAACGAUGCAUAGCCGACCUGAGAGGGUGAUCGGCCACACUGGAACUGAGACACGGUCCAGACUCCUACGGGAGGCAGCAGUAGGGAAUCUUCCGCAAUGGGCGAAAGCCUGACGGAGCAACGCCGCGUGAGUGAUGAAGGUCUUCGGAUCGUAAAACUCUGUUAUUAGGGAAGAAUAUAUGUGUAAGUAACUGUGCACAUCUUGACGGUACCUAAUCAGAAAGCCACGGCUAACUACGUGCCAGCAGCCGCGGUAAUACGUAGGUGGCAAGCGUUAUCCGGAAUUAUUGGGCGUAAAGCGCGCGUAGCGGUUUUUUAAGUCUGAUGUGAAAGCCCACGGCUCAACCGUGGAGGGUCAUUGGAAACUGGAAAACUUGAGUGCAGAAGAGGAAAGUGGAAUUCCAUGUGUAGCGGUGAAAUGCGCAGAGAUAUGGAGGAACACCAGUGGCGAAGGCGACUUUCUGGUCUGUAACUGACGCUGAUGUGCGAAAGCGUGGGGAUCAAACAGGAUUAGAUACCCUGGUAGUCCACGCCGUAAACGAUGAGUGCUAAGUGUUAGGGGGUUUCCGCCCCUUAGUGCUGCAGCUAACGCAUUAAGCACUCCGCCUGGGGAGUACGACCGCAAGGUUGAAACUCAAAGGAAUUGACGGGGACCCGCACAAGCGGUGGAGCAUGUGGUUUAAUUCGAAGCAACGCGAAGAACCUUACCAAAUCUUGACAUCCUUUGACAACUCUAGAGAUAGAGCCUUCCCCUUCGGGGGACAAAGUGACAGGUGGUGCAUGGUUGUCGUCAGCUCGUGUCGUGAGAUGUUGGGUUAAGUCCCGCAACGAGCGCAACCCUUAAGCUUAGUUGCCAUCAUUAAGUUGGGCACUCUAAGUUGACUGCCGGUGACAAACCGGAGGAAGGUGGGGAUGACGUCAAAUCAUCAUGCCCCUUAUGAUUUGGGCUACACACGUGCUACAAUGGACAAUACAAAGGGCAGCGAAACCGCGAGGUCAAGCAAAUCCCAUAAAGUUGUUCUCAGUUCGGAUUGUAGUCUGCAACUCGACUACAUGAAGCUGGAAUCGCUAGUAAUCGUAGAUCAGCAUGCUACGGUGAAUACGUUCCCGGGUCU
rnacentral:rRNA from 1 species